UACGUAGGGUGCAAGCGUUAAUCGGAAUUACUGGGCGUAAAGCGUGCGCAGGCGGUUUUGUAAGUUUGUCGUGAAAGCCCCGGGCUCAACCUGGGAAUGGCGAUGAAGACUGCAAGGCUUGAAUCUGGCAGAGGGGGGUAGAAUUCCACGUGUAGCAGUGAAAUGCGUAGAGAUGUGGAGGAACACCGAUGGCGAAGGCAGCCCCCUGGGUCAAGAUUGACGCUCAUGCACGAAAGCAUGGGGAGCAAACAGG
rnacentral:rRNA from 1 species